UGGGGGAUAUUGCACAAUGGGCGAAAGCCUGAUGCAGCGACGCCGCGUGGGGGAUGAAGGCUUUCGGGUUGUAAACCUCUUUUGCUAUCGAACAAGGCCCGCUUAGGGUGGGUUGAGGGUAGGUGGAGAAGAAGCGCCGGCUAACUACGCGCCAGCAGCCGCGGUAAUACGUAGGGCGCGAGCGUUGUCCGGAAUUAUUGGGCGUAAAGGGCUUGUAGGCGGCUUGUUGCGCCUGCUGUGAAAACGCGGGGCUUAACUUCGCGCGUGCAGUGGGUACGGGCAGGCUUGAGUGUGGUAGGGGGGACUGGAAUUCCAGGUGUAGCGGUGGAAUGCGAAGAUAUCUGGAGGAACACCGAGGGCGAAGGCAGGUCACUGGGCCAUUACUGACGCUGAGGAGCGAAAGCAUGGGUAGCGAACAGG
rnacentral:rRNA from 1 species